CUCAUACUCCCUCCGUUCGGAAUUACUUGUCGCAGAAAUGGAUGUAUUUAGACGUAUUUUAGUUCUAGAUACAUCCAUUUUUGAGACAAGUAAUUCCGAACGGAGGGAGUAGGAU
rnacentral:pre_miRNA from 1 species